rnacentral:lncRNA from 1 species
UAAAUUUUCAAAUUAGUUUACUUUCUAUGUAUUAAACUAUUAUUAUAUGAAUUUUUUUGUUAACUUUGAUCAUACACAAUUCCGUGAGAACCAAAUCGUUUUAUCAUGUAAGAUAAUAAAACACAUGAGCCCGGCCAAACAACCUAACUUUCAGCAAGCGAAGUAUUACCCAGGACUCCAGAUAACAAACCGUUACAAAAACAUAACGUAAAUAUACGUAUAUCAACAAAAUCAUCAUGAAGAGAACCUCCAAACAG